rnacentral:tRNA from 1 species
UGCAGGGUAGAGAAAUGGUAUCUCGUUGGGCUCAUGAUCCAAAAGUUGUAGGUUCGAAUCCUGCCCCUGCUA